rnacentral:rRNA from 1 species
CAACCUGCCCUUCAGAGGGGGACAACAGUUGGAAACGACUGCUAAUACCGCAUACGAUCUAAUCUCGGCAUCGAGGAAAGAUGAAAGGUGGCCUCUAUUUAUAAGCUAUCACUGAAGGAGGGGAUUGCGUCUGAUUAGCUAGUUGGAGGGGUAACGGCCCACCAAGGCGAUGAUCAGUAGCCGGUCUGAGAGGAUGAACGGCCAUAUUGGGACUGAGACACGGCCCAGACUCCUACGGGAGGCAGCAUG